rnacentral:tRNA from 1 species
GAGAAUGUAGCUUAGUUGGCUAAAGCACCCGCCUGUCACGCGGGUUAUCGCGGGUUCAAGUCCCGUCUUUCUCG